GACGAACGCUGGCGGCGUGCUUAACACAUGCAAGUCGAACGGAAAGGCCCUGCUUGCAGGGUACUCGAGUGGCGAACGGGUGAGUAACACGUGGGUGAUCUGCCCUGCACUUCGGGAUAAGCCUGGGAAACUGGGUCUAAUACCGGAUAUGACCUUCCAUGUAGUGUGGGGGGUGGAAAGAUUUAUCGGUGUGGGAUGAGCCCGCGGCCUAUCAGCUUGUUGGUGGGGUAAUGGCCUACCAAGGCGUCGACGGGUAGCCGGCCUGAGAGGGUGGACGGCCACAUUGGGCCUGAGAUACGGCCCAGACUCCUACGGGAGGCAGCAGUGGGGAAUAUUGCACAAUGGGCCGACGCCUUAUGCAGCGACGCCGCGUGGGGGAUGACGGCUUUCGGGUUGUAAACCUCUUUCGACAGGGACGAAGCUUCGGUGACGGUACCUGUAUAAGAAGCACCGGCUAACUACGUG
rnacentral:rRNA from 1 species